CAAAUAUAUAAGCCGAAUUUCAAUAGUAAAAUGGGGGAACCAUUUAAUUGGGGUGAAUUUCGCCGGGUAUACCUAAGUAUACACAUUGUGCAGAAAUGCGCAUAGACCGGUGAAUAGGGUGACCUAUGCAUCCGAAUCCGUCAGCUAACCUCGUAGGCUUUGCAUGGGGAACCA
rnacentral:sRNA from 2 species